rnacentral:rRNA from 1 species
UAGUUUGAUCCUGGCUCAGAACGAACGCUGGCGGCAUGCCUAACACAUGCAAGUCGAACGAGACCUUCGGGUCUAGUGGCGCACGGGUGCGUAACGCGUGGGAAUCUGCCCUUGGGUUCGGAAUAACUCGCCGAAAGGCGUGCUAAUACCGGAUGAUGUCGCAAGACCAAAGAUUUAUCGCCCAAGGAUGAGCCCGCGUAGGAUUAGCUAGUUGGUGAGGUAAAGGCUCACCAAGGCGACGAUCCUUAGCUGGUCUGAGAGGAUGAUCAGCCACACUGGGACUGAGACACGGCCCAGACUCCUACGGGAGGCAGCAGUGGGGAAUAUUGGACAAUGGGCGAAAGCCUGAUCCAGCAAUGCCGCGUGAGUGAUGAAGGCCUUAGGGUUGUAAAGCUCUUUUACCCGGGAAGAUAAUGACUGUACCGGGAGAAUAAGUCCGG